rnacentral:rRNA from 1 species
GAGAGUUUGAUCCUGGCUCAGGAUGAACGCUAGCGGGAGGCCUAACACAUGCAAGCCGAGCGGUAGAGUCUCUUCGGAGACUUGAGAGCGGCGCACGGGUGCGGAACACGUGUGCAACCUGCCUUUAUCUGGGGGAUAGCCUUUCGAAAGGGAGAUUAAUACCCCAUAAUAUACUGGAUGGCAUCAUCUGGUAUUGAAAACUCCGGUGGAUAGAGAUGGGCACGCGCAAGAUUAGAUAGUUGGUGAGGUAACGGCUCACCAAGUCAGCGAUCUUUAGGGGGCCUGAGAGGGUGAUCCCCCGCACUGGUACUGAGACACGGACCAGACUCCUACGGGAGGCAGCAGUGAGGAAUAUUGGACAAUGGGUGAGAGCCUGAUCCAGCCAUCCCGCGUGAAGGACGACGGCCCUAUGGGUUGUAAACUUCUUUUGUAUAGGGAUAAACCUAGAUACGUGUAUCUAGCUGAAGGUACUAUACGAAUAAGCACCGGCUAACUCCGUGCCAGCAGCCGCGGUAAUACGGAGGGUGCAAGCGUCAUCCGGAUUUAUUGGGUUUAAAGGGUCCGUAGGCGGAUCUGUAAGUCAGUGGUGAAAUCUCACAGCUUAACUGUGAAACUGCCAUUGAUACUGCAGGUCUUGAGUGUUGUUGAAGUAGCUGGAAUAAGUAGUGUAGCGGUGAAAUGCAUAGAUAUUACUUAGAACACCAAUUGCGAAGGCAGGUUACUAAGCAACAACUGACGCUGAUGGACGAAAGCGUGGGGAGCGAACAGGAUUAGAUACCCUGGUAGUCCACGCCGUAAACGAUGCUAACUCGUUUUUGGGGCGUAAGCUUCAGAGACUAAGCGAAAGUGAUAAGUUAGCCACCUGGGGAGUACGAACGCAAGUUUGAAACUCAAAGGAAUUGACGGGGGCCGCACAAGCGGUGGAUUAUGUGGUUUAAUUCGAUGAUACGCGAGGAAC